CUAGCUUCAGGCUGCAGGGGAUGCAGGGGUGGGGGGCGGUGGGGGGGGGUGUAGAGUCCAGCUUUCCCUCAGCCCCGUCUAGUGUCCAGAGGCCAGAUCCAUGAGCAGAAGGCCAUUGUAGGAGUUCCCAUCUUGGCUUAGUGGUUAAUGAAUCAGACUAGGGACCAUGAGGUUGUGGGUUCGAUCCCUGGCCUCGCUCAGUGGGUUAAGGAUCCGGCGUUGCUCUUAGCUGUGGUGUGUAGGUUGCAGACGCGCCUCAGAUCCCGCGUUGCUGUGGCUCUGGCAUAGGCCAGCAGCUGCAGCUCCGAUUAGACCCCUAGCCUGGGAACCUCCAUAUGCCACUGGUGCGGCCCUAAAAGGACAAAAAAAAAAAAAAUAAGUCCAUUGUAGUUUCCACUGUGGUUCCUCUGUGGUCUGUUUCACAAGAAUGGAGGCUGGGACACCAUUGGUUCAGUCCUCAGUGAGCAUCUUCUGGGAACUUGCCAGCCCACGUGCACAAGAUCAAGGUGCCCUCACUUUCACCCGGAUGCAAGAGUGCACUGCAGGAGGGCCACACGGGGACCUAGCUGCACACUCUGAACUGGGUUCCUCUUGGACACCAGGCAUCCUUCUUAGAACUGAGACCUCAACAGUGAACGAGGUGGGAGUGAGAGCUCCAGCAGAAGAAGGCAGGAUACUCCGGUUGACUCAGUCUGCCCCCCACCUAUUCCCAGCCCUGAUGGCCUCAGCCUGCAGCCUGCACUGCCAAAGGCUGAGUAGGUCUCCUGACCCUUCCCCUUCCAGCGUGGUCUCUGCCUGAAGGGCCGCAGGCUGUGGGCAGCUCCCAGCCUCUGUGCCCUUGUGUGGAUGUCACAGCCAGAGCCCUGCCCCUGGAGUCUCUGCCUGGCCCACUCAGCUCAUCUGUAAGAGGUUAGCAUGGAGGAUGUGCUCUCCAGCAUGUUGUCCUCAGCCCCUCACCUGCCUUCUCUACAUCGCACUCAGAUUAGGCCUUUUAUGUCUGAUGGCAUCCACUCUGAGUCCUCCAAGGCUGGACUUCCAUCUCCAUCAUCAUGAUGCACUCGGCACCUAAUGAGGAUACCAGCUUGACACAAGCAUGUGUGCGUGCAUGCCUGCACACACACACACACACACAGAGUCAUCACACACAUGGGACAUUUCACACUUGUCAGUACGGGUCAUUGGAGAGAGGGAAUUUCUGAGGAAUGGUUGAACCACAGGAAAAGGCCAUUAAAAUUGAAAAGUCAUCCUGGGAGGUCUGCCCUGGGUGCUUGGAUGUGGAAUUCUUCUCUUCUGAAUUCAGAAAUUCUCAGGUCCCCCUUUUAAUCUCAGGCUGAAUUCUCCCGGUACAGACCCACCAGAAGGCAGAAUGCAGUUGCCAGUGACAACCUUGGACAUUGGUGAGUGGGCAGGGACCCCAAGAGGUUUGAACCUCCCAAUCUCUCUUGUCCUUUGUCUCCAGGGCAUGUCCAGGCUGCUGUGGUCACCUGUACCAUUUUUCAAGGGGUUGCAAAAGCUGAACUCAACACAGGGCCUUAGUCAGUUUUUUAAAAUUAAAGUAUAAUUGAUUUACAAUGUUUCUUCAAUAUCUGUUGAAUAGCAAAAUAACUUAGUCACACUCUGCACUGUACAGGAGGGUCCUAUUGCCCAUCCAUUCCAAAUAUAAGAGUUUGCAUUAGUCAAUUUGGGUGUAACCUACUGAAAUCAACAUGACCUUGGCCUUUUUUCAUGGAUGUAGGUAAGGCACAUUAAAUUUUUUACUUUGCAAAUGAAAACAGGAAUAGAUUAACAGAAGAAAAAUAACAUAGACAGUCUUUUCCACCUCUCCCUGGGCUAACUAACCCAUAAGCUGAGCAAGUGGGAGAACCUUGAUGGGUGAUGCAUACAUGCUUUUGGUGUAAUUGGGUCUGUUUUCCGGUAAAGACAGCUGAACGCUAAAGUCUGAGCACUGUACUCUAAGAAAUCCCCACAGGCUUGUCAACUGAACCAAUGGGGGAACAGAGGCUCAGUAAAACUUGGGCAUAAUCUAUGCGUCAGAGUUGAUCAAAAUUAUGACUUGGAGGGGAUUUUAAUUAUGGAAAGCCAACCAAAACGCUAUCUUGAAAAACAAACUAUGACGUUGACAGUAUCGAGACACAAAGUGACACUGGCUGGCUUUAGCCGUCUCUUUGUCCAUUGUCCUUCCUUUGUCAAUAGGAGAAAUAAUUGGCCAUUUUAGCACAGAGUUGGGGACAAAGUUAGUAAAGGAAAUACUGAAGCUGCAGUUAAUGCCAAUCCUUUGAAAUUUUAGAAAGACUACAGAAUGUAGAGAAUAUUGAGAAUUACAGAACAUAGAGAGGGAGAGAAGGAGGAUGAGAAGGAAGGGCGAUGAGAAAUCGUGAGAGAAUUUAUGGGUUGAAAGAUAGCUUCCACAGAGUCUGCAGGUUUGGUUUAGAAGACAGAGCUAGGAAGGAGG
rnacentral:lncRNA from 9 species